rnacentral:rRNA from 1 species
GUGAGGAAUAUUGCGCAAUGGAGGCAACUCUGACGCAGCCAUGCCGCGUGCAGGAAGAAGGCGCUACGCGUUGUAAACUGCUUUUAACCGGGAAGAAACCCCAGGACGUGUCCUGGGUUGACGGUACCGGAGGAAUAAGCACCGGCUAACUUCGUGCCAGCAGUCGCGGUAAUACUAAGGGUGCAAGCGUUAUCCGGAUUCAUUGGGUUUAAAGGGUGCGUAGGCGGAGCGUUAAGUCAGUGGUGAAAUCCUGCAGCUUAACUGUAGACUUGCCAUUGAUACUGGCGCUCUUGAGUGCGCUUGAAGUGGGCGGAAUGUGCCGUGUAGCGGUGAAAUGCUUAGAUAUGGCACAGAACACCAAUUGCGAAGGCAGCUCACUAAGGCGAUACUGACGCUGAGGCACGAAAGCGUGGGGAUCGAACAGGAUUAGAAACCCUGGUAGUCC